UUCCUUCCUAUAUCUACGCAUUUCACCGCUACACAGGAAAUUCCACCACCCUCUACCAUACUCUAGCUUGUCAGUUUUGAAUGCAGUUCCCAGGUUGAGCCCGGGGCUUUCACAUCCAACUUAACAAACCACCUACGCGCGCUUUACGCCCAGUAAUUCCGAUUAACGCUUGCACCCUCUGUAUUACCGCGGCUGCUGGCACAGAGUUAGCCGGUGCUUAUUCUGUCGGUAACGUCAAAACCAUCACGUAUUAGGUAAUGGGCCUUCCUCCCAACUUAAAGUGCUUUACAAUCCGAAGACCUUCUUCACACACGCGGCAUGGCUGGAUCAGGCUUUCGCCCAUUGUCCAAUAUUCCCCACUGCUGCCUCCCGUAGGAGUCUGGACCGUGUCUCAGUUCCAGUGUGACUGAUCAUCCUCUCAGACCAGUUACGGAUCGUCGCCUUGGUGAGCCAUUACCUCACCAACUAGCUAAUCCGACCUAGGCUCAUCUGAUAGCGCAAGGCCCGAAGGUCCCCUGCUUUCUCCCGUAGGACGUAUGCGGUAUUAGCGUUCGUUUCCGAACGUUAUCCCCCACUACCAGGCAUAUUCCUAGGCAUUACUCACCCGUCCGCCGCUCUC
rnacentral:rRNA from 1 species